rnacentral:rRNA from 1 species
ACGGGUGAGUAACGCGUGGGAAUCUACCCAUCCCUACGGAAUAACGCAUGGAAACGUGUGCUAAUACCGUAUACGCCCUACGGGGGAAAGAUUUAUCGGGGAUGGAUGAGCCCGCGUUGGAUUAGCUAGUUGGUGGGGUAAAGGCCUACCAAGGCGACGAUCCAUAGCUGGUCUGAGAGGAUGAUCAGCCACAUUGGGACUGAGACACGGCCCAAACUCCUACGGGAGGCAGCAGUGGGGAAUAUUGGACAAUGGGCGCAAGCCUGAUCCAGCCAUGCCGCGUGAGUGAUGAAGGCCUUAGGGUUGUAAAGCUCUUUCACCGGAGAAGAUAAUGACGGUAUCCGGAGAAGAAGCCCCGGCUAACUUCGUGCCAGCAGCCGCGGUAAUACGAAGGGGGCUAGCGUUGUUCGGAAUUACUGGGCGUAAAGCGCACGUAGGCGGACUUUUAAGUCAGGGGUGAAAUCCCGGGGCUCAACCUCGGAACUGCCUUUGAUACUGGAAGUCUGGAGUAUGGAAGAGGUAAGUGGAAUUCCGAGU